rnacentral:lncRNA from 1 species
AGAAAGCGAAAUGAAUUUAAUCACAGCAUCACCAAUCAAAUCAUCAUAGGAAACAUCUAAAUCGGAAAACCUAAUCUAAUCCAAGCCCCAAUUUUCGAAACCCUAUACUAAAACACAACAAUCGCAACCAAGAAGCAAAUCAUUAUUAGGGUUCAGAUAGGGUUUUGACGUACCAGAAUGAGAUCAAAUAGGGUUGACUAGUCGUUGAGCUUGGCCUCGAUGUUGAACUCAGCAAGAUAGCAAUCAUAAUCGCCCUUCAUCUUGAGUUAGAAGACCUUGUUGUUGCUGGUGAAGGCCGUGGUUGUCAAAGUGUCAUUGUUGCGGAAAUAGAGAGAGAGAUAUAUAUAUAUAUAUAUAUAUAUUUGAUCUGAUCAAAAGGAAACCAACGAAUUUGGGGCCCCUCUUUGGCCUAAUCCAAAAUAACAAUUCUUUCCUAGGUAUUAAAACCCAAACAAAAAUACCCAAUAUCUCAAAUACUAAUUAGUAAAGUUACUUAUGUCUAAUACUUAAUUUUUCUUAGAAAUAAAUACAGUAGAAAUAAUAGAUAACAAUAAUCAAAAGAAUAAUUACCCUAGU